rnacentral:rRNA from 1 species
GUGUCAGCCGCCGCGGUAAGACGGGGGGAGCAAGCGUUGUUCGGAUUUACUGGGCGUAAAGGGCGUAUAGGCGGGCUGGCAAGUCAGGUGUGAAAUCCCCCGGCUCAACCGGGGACCUGCACUUGAUACUGCUGGUCUUGAGUACGGAAGAGGGAAGCGGAAUUCCUGGUGUAGCGGUGAAAUGCGUAGAUAUCAGGAAGAACACCAGUGGCGAAGGCGGCUUCCUGGUCCGAUACUGACGCUAAAGCGCGAAAGUGUGGGGAGCAAACAGGAUUAGAUACCCUGGUAGUCCACACUGUAAACGAUGGAUACUAGGUGUCGGGGGUAUCGACCCCCCCGGUGCCGAAGCUAACGCAUUAAGUAUCCCGCCUGGGGAGUACGGUCGCAAGGCUGAAACUCAAAUGAAUUGACGGGG